rnacentral:rRNA from 1 species
CCUACGGGUGGCAGCAGUAGGGAAUAUUGCUCAAUGGGGGAAACCCUGAAGCAGCAACGCCGCGUGGAGGAUGAAGGUUUUAGGAUUGUAAACUCCUUUUGUGAGAGAAGAUUAUGACGGUAUCUAACGAAUAAGCACCGGCUAACUCCGUGCCAGCAGCCGCGGUAAUACGGGGGGUGCAAGCGUGACGCGGAAUCACUGGGCGUAAAGAGUGCGUAGGCGGGGUAAUAAGUCAGAUGUGAAAUCCUGUAGCUUAACUACAGAACUGCAUUUGAAACUGUUAUUCUGGAGUGUGGGAGAGGUAGGUGGAAUUCUUGGUGGAGGGGUAAAAUGCGUAGAGAUCAAGAGGAAUACUCAUGGCGAAGGCGACCUACUGGAACAUUACUGACGCUGAUGCACGAAAGCGUGGGGAGCAAACAGGAUUAGAUACCCGAGUAGUC